rnacentral:rRNA from 1 species
UACGUAGGUGGCAAGCGUUGUCCGGAUUUACUGGGCGUAAAGAGCGCGCAGGCGGUCGUUCAAGUCGCGUGUGAAAGCCCCCCGGCUCAACUGGGGAGGGUCACGCGAUACUGAUCGACUCGAAGGCAGGAGAGGGUAGUGGAAUUCCCCGGUGUAGUGGUGAAAUGCGUAGAUAUCGGGGAGGAACACCAGUGGCGUAAGCGAUCACCUGGGCUAGACCUGACGCUGAGGGACGAAGGCGUGGGGAGCAAACGGG